rfam:Trichobilharzia regenti genome assembly, scaffold: TRE_scaffold0003600
GUACUGCUGAAGUGUCCAAAACUAGGAUGAAACGUCCGUCCAGUAC